rnacentral:lncRNA from 1 species
CACUGGGUUAGAUAUUCUCACUUUCAUCCCAGAUUCACUUCCUUUCCUUCUCUGCCCACUAGAAAGGCUGACUGCUAUAAGCUGUAUAGAUCACAUCAUAAGACUGUCUUUUUCCUCUGGCUUCUUGUAUAUUUUGGCAGUGGAGAGCUCAAUAAGAGAAACAUUGGGCAUUUAUUCAUUCUUCCUUCCAGAACCCUCCCUGAUGUGUUAUGAAUGUGCCAGUAGCUGGGUUAUUUUAUUUAGGACCAAAGUGAUAACCGAGUUGCCUCUCUCACAAGGUUGCAACACCAGCCAUGUUCAUGGAAUCCAAUUGUCUUCUGUGGCCAUUCAAACCUAGGGACAAUUGAGACUUUUCACAUUUUCUCAUCCCUAAGUGUUUCACCAGCACUUGCUAAUUUUCUUACCUGGGAAAUAAAUCCCUUCAUUAGUUUCUCUUCAUGUAACCAUUUUGUGUAUGCCUUCUUUCCUUUGGGACCCUGAUUGCUAUGCCCCUCCCACUUCCAAGUUUUUGUUUUGUAACUCUCCUUGGUCAGUCAACAUCACUGAACAUUCAUGUGCCAGACACAGUUUUGUAAUGAGUACCCCCAUUUUUAUAAGAGAUAAUGUAUUUUUUCUCUUUUCUUUUUUCCCUACUUCCUACUUAGCUCUUUAGACAUGCAAUUAUAACCUUUUACCUUCCUUUUUCCAGACACUCCCUACAGGGCAAGUUCAUCUAACUAUGUGCUUAGAAGCUCCAGAGCAGAACUCCCUCUCACCAGGAGAUCACCUCGAGAGACAACAGUCAAUGUACAACCUGAAGUGCCUGCUACAAAACUGUCUCCCACCAGGAGAGUUUUGGCCACGUUUACAACCUAGUUCUGCCCAUGAAGGCACCAGCUGUCACCAGCUCAACCACGCAGUAGAUUAGGCACUGCAGUGAGUUACAUGACCCCACCUGCAUUUCCCUCCCCUGUGAGCCAUUCAUGCCAAGAUGCCUUUUAAAAGUGCCUGCUUUCUGCUCCAAAAGUAAGCAGUACUCUUAAGGCAGGAAGCCUAUACUUCUUCCCUUAAGCUAGCUUUGGAAUAAAAAGUCACUUUCUUUAUACUAGAACUUGCUCUUGUGAAUUGGACUCGGCAGGUGGCAAGUGACUGAAUCUGCAUUUUGGUUACAGUAUAAGGCAUUGGCGACUCACUGACAAACAAGUUGCACUUCCUGAAGAGAGUGUGCAACUAUGGUCCACUGAAAGAGACAUCCAGAAAGUGGCUGUCAAUGACAGAAGUGAGAAAUAAGACUGCAGGACUUACUUAGAAGCCACAUUUUUCUUCUGGUCCAUAAACUGUGAAUCUUUGUAUGGUUUGCAAAACCAACGACCCCAGAGGUCAAGCAGG